rnacentral:tRNA from 1 species
GGGCAAUUAGCUCAGCCGGAUAGAGCGCUACCCUCCGGAGGUAGAAGUCGUGGGUUCGAAUCCCGCAUUGCCCA